GCUUUUAAAGGGGAUGAAGGGGAGGGGUAUGGGGGGGGGGUGAUUUGAUUAUCCACGACAGAUGCCUGCUCCCCACACACCCACUGAUAAUGUAUUCCCCCUAAUCCCAUCAAACUCCCAACUGCGCUGCAGGUGCACCUCUGGCCAUGAAAAUACCAGACACAUUCACCAUUCCCUGUGCACGUUGCACGGUUGACUGCACGUUCCAUCAUGUGAAAAUAAGAGCCUUAACGUAACAAUCUAUCCAGCGCAACUCUGUGCCCACCAUCAAGAAGUUGAGUAUACCUGCCAAUGAAAGGUGAAGGGUCAAAUUAUAUUAGGGACGGGAAAAGAAAUACCUUUGCUGUGUCUAACAGCAGAAAGCACAGUUUCAGACAGAGAAGACUGCAGUUAGGAGAAAACAGGAGGUGAUAUAACUGCAGAGCACGCUAAUUAAGUAGCAUAAAGGCACAUUUUCCAUAUAUCAUUUCCCCAGCAAGAGCCAAUCAAGCUUCGUGCUGAAUCCAGACCUCUGUUAAAUACAGCUGAUUUGCACAUUUACCACCACUUCAAGCUUAAUGCUUUUAAACUAAACUGUUUUAAGCCUGUACAGUUUUGUGAAGAGCACCUAGAGUAGAAUACAUUUUUGACUGAAGCAAUGGAAUCUCCACAAUGCUCACACCAAAAGAACAGACAGUGUAAAAAUGCUUUUUAACAGACAAGACAGUGCUGGGUUUGGUUUAUAAUGUCACUAAUAAAUCCACGUAUGUCUGUUUGUCUGUUCUUCUCAUCUUUUUACCUGUUCAUCUGAUCUACCUCAACAGAUCAAUUGCAGGGGGACCACAUACUUUAAUUACAAGUUUUAUAUUUUGAUAACAUGAGCCCCUAUAGGACAGCACUUAAUGACAGUGGGAAGGAAGACCUCUGUCAGAAGACUCAUGGAGGGUUAGCCAUCUGCCACAAGUGAUGGGGAGGAGUGGAAAGAGAAGCAUAAAGAGCACAACAGGACAAAAACAAGUUUAAGACAUGCAAAGUUUCCUGGCAUCCACCCUUCCAUUGAGACCAUUUUUGAUGAGGAUUUGGUGAAGAGAAGACGGAUCGAUGACGUGCCAGAUGUAUCUCUUAAGUCUUUGCUGGAUCUUUUCCUGUUUCUUAAGGACAUGACUUUCAAAUACUGUUCUAAAUGGCGCAGAUAUACUUUUUAGGAACUUAGGAGCAAAAACAGAAAGGGGACGAGGAUACAUGGAGUUCACAACAUGAGAACAAAGGAAGACCAAACAAUAAAUACAUGCACAGGACAACAAGAAGCUAUGAAGCAGGUGGGGAAACCGCUGGCAACAUUAUAGGAAGAUGAGACAAGGUAAGCAAAACUAAAACAUAAUGCACAUGAGACAAAGACUAAAAAAUAAAACAGGAAGUGACAAAACAGCAGACACAGCGAUGGAGGCUUGACAAGACACAGGAGAGGCAGGAUGACACAAGGAAAUAAACAGAACCAGAAAACUGAAACCAGAGAAUUCUAACACUAGACACAAUGAGAACAAAGAACCGCACAGAGACAUAAUGACCUAAAUGAGAGAUUGGGAAACUAAAGAUCAAUGAAAAUAACUAACUCAGCCUUUACCAAGAAACUAGAAUCAAGUCACAUCCUGAUAUGUGAUGCCUGCCCCUAAGGCGUGGUCUGAUUGUUAGAGUUUUCUGUCUAUUAUUGUAAGUUUUUACGUUAUGAUAUAAAACAAGUUGAGGUGAUUGUUAUUGUGAGUUGGCGCUAUGUAAAAAAAAACUAAACUAGACUGGAUUAA